UAGCGGUGUUCUAGGAUAUUUUAUACCUCCUGGAUGAGCUAUCACUGCUCCCUGGGGGAAAGCAGGCGGGUCACUCUGUGUCCAUUUGAGAAUAAUGGCUCUCACUGUGGAUUCGGUUGAGUCCCGGAAGCCUUAUAAAUGGCUUUGUAACCCUUUUUAGACUGAUAUUCCAACAACCUUUUUCCUCAUCACUUCUGGAAUUUCCUUUGAUCGUGGCAUAGUUUGCUCAUAACUGUGUGGUGAUGACUGCCCCGUUACUGAACCCCUGCCUGGACUAUUACAAACUGUUACCUCCUACAUCCCCAUCUGCCAGCAUCUGACCUUUGCCUGUUUUACCUGCCAGCAUAUUUCUCCGGCCCUGAAAGCCUCUGAGACCGCAUCACCCAGCUAACAGCAAGCCUCUCCCAAGACUGGACGGCCUCCAGAACAAGCUUCUUAUCAGCCUGCAAAUCUGAUUGAGCAGGCCAAUGAUAUAGCUGCUCUUAGAUAUAAAAAAAAGAAACCAAGCUAUUAAACAGACGGAUGUGGGUUGGGAAGGAAGAGUCAUUUUCAUUUAAUAAUAUCCGUGUCUUCUCCUUCUCCCUUCUGUCUGUUCACUUUGCCUCACAAGCCUUAAAUGAGCUCUGCUGAUGUGAGAGAUGGACUCAUUAUUUUGGCAGAAAGGUUUUGGUGA